GUGGUUAUAGCGCAGUGGUAGAGUGCUUGCCUAGCAUGUAGGAGGCACUGGGUUCAAUUCCCUGUACUAUA
rnacentral:tRNA from 1 species